UGGCUCAGGAUGAACGCUGACAGAAUGCUUAACACAUGCAAGUCUACUUGAACUUCGGUUUGGGUGGCGGACGGGUGAGUAACGCGUAAAGAACUUGCCUCACAGUUAGGGACAACAUUUGGAAACGAAUGCUAAUACCUGAUAUUAUGAUUUUAGGGCAUCCUAAGAUUAUGAAAGCUAUAUGCACUGUGAGAGAGCUUUGCGUCCCAUUAGCUAGUUGGAGAGGUAACGGCUCACCAAGGCGAUGAUGGGUAGCCGGCCUGAGAGGGUGAACGGCCACAAGGGGACUGAGACACGGCCCUUACUCCUACGGGAGGCAGCAGUGGGGAAUAUUGGACAAUGGACCAAAAGUCUGAUCCAGCAAUUCUGUGUGCACGAUGACGUUUUUCGGAAUGUAAAGUGCUUUCAGUUGGGAAGAAAAAAAUGACGGUACCAACAGAAGAAGUGACGGCUAAAUACGUGCCAGCAGCCGCGGUAAUACGUAUGUCACAAGCGUUAUCCGGAUUUAUUGGGCGUAAAGCGCGUCUAGGUGGUUAUGUAAGUCUGAUGUGAAAAUGCAGGGCUCAACUCUGCAUUGCGUUGGAAACUGCAUGACUAGAGUACUGGAGAGGUAAGCGGAACUACAAGUGUAGAGGUGAAAUUCGUAGAUAUUUGUAGGAAUGCCGAUGGGGAAGCCAGCUUACUGGACAGAUACUGACGCUAAAGCGCGAAAGCGUGGGUAGCAAACAGGAUUAGAUACCCU
rnacentral:rRNA from 1 species